ACGAAUGAUGAUAUGCACUGGGCUCUGAGUAAUAUUGAUGGAAAUGCUAGCCUAGAAAGCUGUAUCUGACCA
rfam:Vitis vinifera, whole genome shotgun sequence of line PN40024, unoriented chromosome 18, chr18